UCGUUUCACUGAUUUUAAAUCUGUGUUGACCAAAAAAGUUCCAGCUAAUACUCCUAUAGAUUUUCUUGGAUACGUGGUUGUGUCUUAUCCUAUUGAGGAUGUGGAUAAAAAGGAUGGCACUAAAACCAAACGAAUGAACCUAACUCUCAAAGAUCUCCAUGAUACCAAGAUUAGUCUUACAUUAUGGGAAAACUAUGCAAUCGAGAUG